rnacentral:rRNA from 1 species
CAAUAGCGUAUAUUUAAGUUGUUGCGGUUAAAAGCUCGUAGUUGGAUUUCUGCUGAGGACGACCGGUCCGCCCUCUGGGUGAGUAUCUGGUUCGGCCUGGGCAUCUUCUUGGAGAACGUAGCCGCACUUGACUGUGUGGUGCGGUAUCCAGGACUUUUACUUUGAAAAAUUAGAGUGUUUAAAGCAGGCUUUUGCUAUGAAUACAUUAGCAUGGAAUAAUAAUCUAGGACUUCGGUGCUAUUUUGUUGGUUUCUUGGAACUGAAGUAAUGAUUGAUAGGGAUAGUUGGGGGUGGCUAGUAUUGAGCGGCCAGAGGUGGAAAUUCUUGGAUUCGCUCAAGACUAACUUAUGCGAAAGCAUUCACCAAGGAUGUCUUC